rnacentral:rRNA from 1 species
CCUACGGGUGGCAGCAGUGAGGAAUAUUGGUCAAUGGCCGGAAGGCUGAACCAGCCAUGCCGCGUGAAGGUCAGUGCCCUAUGGGCGUUAAACUUCUUUUGUGCGGGAGCAAUAAUGGUCACGUGUGGCCAGACGAGAGUACCGUACGAAUAAGCAUCGGCUAACUCCGUGCCAGCAGCCGCGGUAAUACGGGGGAUGCAAGCGUUAUCCGGAUUUAUUGGGUUUAAAGGGUGCGUAGGCUGUUAGGUAAGUCAGCGGUGAAAUGCCCCCGCUCAACGGGGUGAAGUGCCAUUGAUACUGCCUGGCUGGAAUGCGGAUGCGGUGGGAGGAAUGUGUGGUGUAGCGGUGAAAUGCAUAGAUAUCACACAGAACACCGAUUGCGAAGGCAUCUCACGAAUCCGCGAUUGACGCUGAUGCACGAAAGCGUGGGUAUCAAACAGGAUUAGAUACCCGAGUAGUC